UUGUAUUUCUGUUAAAUUUAUUUUUUACUUUUAGAGUGGCUGUCAUUAUAAUGUAAUUUAAAAUUAUAUUUGUAAAAGUGAUUAUUGGAGUGAGUACAAAUUUUGUUUAUAAAUCUAUGAUAAAUGCAUUCUCCCUUUAAUUUAGGAGGUGGAAAAGUAUAGAGCUGUGUAUAAUAAGCUUCGCUAUGAACAUACAUUUCUCAAGUCAGAAUUUGAACACCAGAAGGAAGAGUAUGCACGUAUUUUAGAUGAAGGAAAAAUAAAAUAUGAAUCAGAGAUUGCAAGACUGGAGGAAGAUAAAGAAGAACUACGUAACCAGCUGCUUAAUGUUGAUCUCACAAAAGACAGCAAACGAGUGGAACAACUUGCUCGAGAAAAAGUCUAUUUGUGUCAAAAAUUAAAAGGUUUAGAGGCUGAAGUAGUGGAAUUAAAGGCUGAAAAGGAGAAUUCUGAGGCUCAGGUGGAAAAUGCCCAAAGAAUACAGGUGCGGCAGUUGGCUGAGAUGCAGGCUACAGUCAGAUCCCUGGA
rnacentral:sRNA from 1 species